GGGGAUUUAGCUCAGUGGUAAAGCACUUGCCUAGCAAGCACAAGGCCCUGGGUUCGAUCCUCAGCUCCA
rnacentral:tRNA from 1 species